rfam:Myotis lucifugus cont2.41491, whole genome shotgun sequence.
GGUGGUCCUUGGGUGAUACACCCCAGAAUCAUGCUCCCUCCUCUCUGGUUCCCGGUGCGUUACCCAAGAACCACA